rnacentral:rRNA from 1 species
AAUGAACGCUGGCGGCAGGCCUAACACAUGCAAGUCGAACGGAUCCUUCGGGAUUAGUGGCGGACGGGUGAGUAACGCGUGGGAACAUACCCUUUGGUACGGAAUAGCCUCGGGAAACUGGGAGUAAUACCGUAUGUGGUCGAGAGACGAAAGAUUUAUCGCCAAAGGAUUGGCCCGCGUUGGAUUAGGUAGUUGGUGGGGUAAUGGCCUACCAAGCCGACGAUCCAUAGCUGGGUUGAGAGGAUGAUCAGCCACACUGGGACUGAGACACGGCCCAGACUCCUACGGGAGGCAGCAGUGGGGAAUCUUAGACAAUGGGGGAAACCCUGAUCUAGCCAUGCCGCGUGAUCGAUGAAGGCCUUAGGGUUGUAAAGAUCUUUCAGGUGGGAAGAUAAUGACUGUGCCACUAGAGGAAGCCCCGGCUAACUCCGUGCCAGCCGCCGCGGUAA